UACGUAGGGUGCAAGCGUUGUCCGGAUUUAUUGGGCGUAAAGAGUUCGUAGGCUGUUGAGAAAGUCAUGUUUCAAAUACCGGGGCUUAACUUCGGAAAGGGACAUGAUACUGCUCAACUAGAAGAAUUUAGGGGCUACUGGAACUUAUCAUGUAGGGGUGAAAUCCGUUGAUAUGAUAAGGAACACCAAGGGCGAAGGCAGGUAGCUGGGAAUUUUUUGACGCUGAGGAACGAAAGCUAGGGUAGCGAAAGGG
rnacentral:misc_RNA from 1 species